UGAAACUUGUCUUGCAAAUGUCGCACUGGUGCGGUUUCUCCCCAGUGUGGACCAGGUGGUGCGUCUUGAGGUUGGCUAGAUGGGCGAAACUCUUGUUGCAAAUGUCGCACUGGUGCGGUUUCUCCCCAGUGUGGACCAGGUGGUGCCUCUUGAGGUCGCACAGCUGG
rnacentral:lncRNA from 1 species